CUUACGGACUCUUAAGAAUGAGUUUACGGGGCUGGCACUGUGGCAUAGUGGGUAAAGCCACUGUCUUCAGGGCUGGCAUCCCAUAGAGGUGCCAGUUUGAGUCCUGUCUGUGCCACUUCUGGUUAAGCUCUCUGCUAUGGCCUGGAAAAACAGUAGAUGAUCCAAGUGCUUGGGACCCUGUGCCUGUGUGAGAGACCUGGAAGGAAGAAACUCCUGGUUCCUGGCUUUGGAUUGGCACAGCUCUGGCCAUUUUGGCCAUCUGCAGAGUGAAUCUGCAGGUGAAAGACCUCUCUCUCUCUCUCUCUCUCUCUCUCUUUCUUGCUCUCCGUGCCUCUAUGUACUCUUUUAAAUAAAUUAAUUAAUAUUUUAGAAUGAGUUUACUAUUCAAUUAAUUAAAUAUUUGUACUCUGUAUAAUGUAAGUAAGUUUUUAAUAAUGCAUUUGAGAUUAUUGCUAGAACAUUGCUGUUCAAGCCACCUGUAGGAAAGGACCAGCAUUUUCCCUACUGUAUUGUGGAUUGAUAUUUUGUAACAUUUAAUAUUAAGUAAAAAUGUAAAUUAGUUACUAGAAAAAUGAAAUUCUGAAAGAACAGGAAAUAUAUAAUCCUGCUAUUUCAUUUUAAAUCAGAUGCUCCUACAAAAUUAACCAUUCUUUCUAAUGAUAAUUACCAUAUUUUAUUUUAAAAUAUCUGCAAACUUUAUGUUUUGUUGCUGUCUUUGAAUAUAUAAUAACUACCCAUACAGAUUUAAUGUCAUUUUUAUGGGCUACUUUUUGGCAACUUCUCUUAUCUCCUGGCAUUUGUAUUGUUUCUAACAAAGUACUCAUUUCUUUUCAUAGUAAUGACAGCAAAUUGCUUUUAAUUUCAUAAUAUUUGCAGCACAUUUGAACUUUUUGUUCUUUGAAUUUCUACUUACCACCUGUACGUACCUUUAAUAUCCAAGUUGAAGUCAGUAUUUGCCUGGUGGAAUGGAGGCCAUCUUGCUUCAAUUUUACAUUAUGAGGUCAUCAGAUGCCCAAAAGUUCUGUAAGCUGUCCUGGAAACUUUCAUGUACACAGUUUCUCAGAGAGACUUAGGAUGCGGUAAUCAUUCACCACUUCCAGAAAAAACAGGAAGUACAGCAAAUGGAGAAUUCUUCCAUGCUCAUGGAUUAGAUGAAGUAAUGCCAUCAAAAUGCCCAGAUGUAUGAAACAAGACACCUGUCUUACACCCUAUACAAAAAUCAAUUCCAAUGGAACAGGUAUCUCAAUCUAAGACCUGAAGCCAUCAAAUUACUAAAGAGAAACAUACAGAAACACUGCAAGUCAUUGGCAUCAGCAAAUACUUCUUGGAUAAGACCCCAGAGGCACAGGAAAUCAAGGCAAAAAUAGACAAAUGGGAUUACAUCAAGGUUAGAAGCUUCUUCCAGCAAAGGAAA